rnacentral:rRNA from 1 species
AACGAACGCUGGCGGCAUGCCUAACACAUGCAAGUCGAACGAGACCUUCGGGUCUAGUGGCGCACGGGUGCGUAACGCGUGGGAACCUGCCCUUAGGUUCGGAAUAACUCCCCGAAAGGGGUGCUAAUAUCGGAUAAUGUCUUCGGACCAAAGAUUUAUCGCCUUUGGAUGGGCCCGCGUUGGAUUAGCUAGUUGGUAGGGUAAAAGCCUACCAAGGCGACGAUCCAUAGCUGGUCUGAGAGGAUGAUCAGCCACACUGGGACUGAGACACGGCCCAGACUCCUACGAGAGGCAGCAGUGGGGAAUAUUGGACAAUGGGCGAAAGCCUGAUCCAGCAAUGCCGCGUGAGUGAUGAAGGCCUUAGGGUUGUAAGGCUCUUUUACCCGGGAUGAUAAUGACAGUACCGGGAGAAUAAGCUCCGGCUAACUCCGU